CCCCAUGUGGGAUGAGCAGCCAAUCAAACCACCUGGAGGCUAUAAAGGUGAGCUGCUGCCACCCAGUCAGUCUUUUGUUCCUCAGUCUGGUGUGUGCACCUGCUCAGGAAACCUAAUGAGCCGUUUCCAAAUCAUCAUGCUCAAUCUUCAAUAAAAUUAACUGAAUCUGAAAUCCUGAACUUUUGAUUCUAAUAAAUCAUCUAUGGUGGUUAGUUUCCUGCAGUUUUUCAGGAUUGCUGAAGUCAGACGAUCCUCCCUGACGCGAUUUCUUAGAAAUUUUUUUUUUUUUUGGGAAAGUUUCCUGACCGCUGAACUUUUGUCAAAUCAAUUCCUUUAUAGCUUCUUGCUAUAGUAGAUCUGCCAGGCAUGCACCUGCACAGCAAUGACGAUCACCAGGUACAUGACCGAAACGGCAGAGAAGCCGAAGAUGAAGCGGUAGGCUUUGCCGUGCCGAUAGAGCUGCUGCGCCACCGGGAAC